GAUGUUCCUCAUCCGGUAUGACUUGUGUUCUUAUGAGAAGAUGGCCAUGUGCAGACAGACACACAGAGAAGGGCCUGCGUAGGUGGAAGUAGAGAAUGGAGUAAUGCAGCCAUGAGCCGGGGAACACCAGGGACUGCAACUACCACCAGAAGACAGGAAGAGGUUGCACUUGAGUUGUCAGCCAGGUGUGAGGCUGAGUGCUCAUCUGAAGGUUCAACUGGGACAGGGUCAAUCAUAGACUGAUGUUGGCAUCUGGUUCCAGCUGAAGGACAACAGAGGAGGCCCGGGCUCCUCAUCCUUUACUCUAUGAGAGCUUCCUGCCAUCUGCCUCAUUUUGCAGUUCUUGCCAUGGAGACUGCUCAUACCACGGAGUGUUAAAUAAAAUGUGUCUGUAUCAUCAAAA